UGUAGACUACGAGUGGAAUUCCUGGGCCAUAAGUUAACUAUGUUUAACCUGUUGAUGAACUGUUUUCCAAAGCAGUGCACCAUUUUCCCAACAUCAAGGUACUUCCUCCACUGAAGUCUUGAAUCUUCAAUUUGUAAAAAAUGCAGUAACUACAAAUCACAAGAAAGUGAUGUGCAAUAUAAUGCAAUAUGCCUACAUCAGUAUGAAAUGAUCUACUUUAUCCAUGGUGUGUUCUCCCCCCAACCUCUGGUAGUUUCCUUGGAUGCAUGAUUUAAUCGGAUCUCUGCUGAACAGUCAAGAGGGAUCCCCUAAAGAUCUUUGGAGUUCUCCUAUCCUACAGUCUAUCCUGUGGAUUCUGUUUUGGUCUCAGCAGACUCUUAGCUCGGAUUAUUAAACUCAGGAAAGUUGCCAUGCUCUGCCUGUAUUCUCUGCUCUUGUGCCAUGGCCUAAAUCUGCUCUCAGACUUAUGCUGAUGCCAUCAUAGGGCUCAUCUCAUUUGAUUCCCAUCCCUUGGGGAUUACUG